rnacentral:rRNA from 1 species
CCUACGGGUGGCUGCAGUGGGGAAUAUUGGACAAUGGGCGCAAGCCUGAUCCAGCCAUGCCGCGUGAGUGACGAAGGCCUUAGGGUUGUAAAGCUCUUUUGCCGGGGACGAUAAUGACGGUACCCGGAGAAUAAGUCCCGGCUAACUUCGUGCCAGCAGCCGCGGUAAUACGAAGGGGACUAGCGUUGUUCGGAAUCACUGGGCGUAAAGCGCACGUAGGCGGAUUUGUCAGUCAGGGGUGAAAUCCCGGGGCUCACACGCGGAACUGCCUCCGAUACAGCAAAUCUCGAGUCCGGAAGAGGUGAGUGGAAUUCCUAGUGUAGAGGUGAAAUUCGUAGAUAUUAGGAAGAACACCAGUGGCGAAGGCGGCUCACUGGUCCGGUACUGACGCUGAGGUGCGAAAGCGUGGGGAGCAAACAGGAUUAGAUACCCCUGUAGUC